GGUAAGAUGGCCGAGUUUUAGGCGGUGGUUUGUAGCUCCAUGCACAGGGGUUCGAUUCCCCUUCUUAUCA
rnacentral:tRNA from 1 species